GUGCUUGCUUUGGCAGCACAUAUACUAGAAUUGGAAUGAUACAGAGAAGAUUAGCAUGGCUUCUACACAAAGAUGACAUGAAAAUUUAUAAAGCAUUCCAUAUUUUU
ensembl:snRNA U6 U6 spliceosomal RNA